rnacentral:rRNA from 1 species
GACGAACGCUGGCGGCGUGCUUAACACAUGCAAGUCGAACGGUGAAGCUCCAGCUUGCUGGAGUGGAUCAGUGGCGAACGGGUGAGUAACACGUGAGCAACCUGCCCCUGACUCUGGAAUAAGCGCUGGAAACGGCGUCUAAUACUGGAUACGAGAAGGGUCCGCAUGGGCACUUUCUGGAAAGUUUUUCGGUUGGGGAUGGGCUCGCGGCCUAUCAGCUUGUUGGUGAGGUAAUGGCUCACCAAGGCGACGACGGGUAGCCGGCCUGCGAGGGCGACCGGCCACACUGGGACUGAGACACGGCCCAGACUCCUACGGGAGGCAGCAGUGGGGAAUAUUGCACAAUGGGCGAAAGCCUGAUGCAGCGACGCCGCGUGAGGGAUGACGGCCUUCGGGUUGUAAACCUCUUUCAGCAGGGAAGAAGCGAAAGUGACGGUACCUGCAGAAGAAGCACCGGCUAACUACGUG